rnacentral:rRNA from 1 species
CCUGGCGGCCGUAGCGCGGUGGUCCCACUUGACCCCAUGCCGAACUCAGAAGUGAAACGCCGUAGCGCCGAUGGUAGUGUGGGGUUUCCCCAUGCGAGAGUAGGGAACUGCCAGGC